AUGGGUCGUACUUGAAUGUGUAUCAGAACAUAUAAAAAUUAUUACCCAUAAUAGGUUCCUAUUGUUUUUAUAUGUUAUUAUUUUCAUUCACCCUUUGGCCAUCAUUACAAUAAUUUUCAGUUUCCACUGCACUUUUUCAUUUACUUGUGAUGUGUUAAUGCGUGUAUUUGUGUAUAUAGACUUUUUACUGUUCUUUAGUACUUACCUACUUUUUUAUAUCGUGCUUGUACACAGUAGGUAGUAAUUAGUAACGGACUUUAUAUAUAAUCGAAUAUUUAUGCCACUGCAUAUAAUUAUUGAUCGAAUUUUUUCGCUAUGAAUAAAUUUAUUGUUGGCGUGCCGAUUAAAUGGGGAUUUGAAGAACUGAUAGAUACGUUUAAAGAUUGAAAUUGGUUUCCAAACUUUGUAUCCAGGAAAAGAUAAACUUUUAUUUCUUAAGUUUGACACAUUUAAAGUUAAGUUAAUCAAUUAUAUUGAUAAAAUUAUAAACUAAAAAAAUGUUUUUCAUUACAAGACAAGUCUUCAUUAUUUUCCGAACUUAAAACCCUGUCAAGGCUUGGUAAUGAUAACAUAUUUGUACUCAAACUUUUGUCACAACUUUUUCAACCAUUAACAAUCAAGUUGGACAAAAAACAUAAAAUAGACGACAAACAUUCAAUUUGGAGACCAUCUAAGGCUGAACAAGUAGAUUCUUUUGUUCU